GGAUGUCAGAAUUUUAAACAUUAAUUCUAAUAAUUCUUUUUCUCUAAUGUUCUUAUGCCAGAAAGACUCUGGGGAUGUGCAAAACAUCCCAUAUCCUGAUCCUGCUGCCUGGGGUCAGGAAGGGUACUUGGUUUCUCUCCAGUUGGUAUAGUCAUCCAAAGAAGCAGAUUGUCCCAUAUCCAGCUAUGCAAGUCCAAACACAGGGGCCUAAUUAUGCCCAAAGAAGGCAUAAUUCUCAAGAGGAAGGCUCCUUCUGGGCUUCUGAGCUCAUUUCUGAAGGUAAUUGGCAGCUGCUGGUCCCUGCUUCCAGGAACCCUUCUAGGAACCAUGAGGUUGAAGACAAAUCUGAAGCAACACCAGGAACACAGGACCUCUAAGGUCACCGUGGUAGAGGAUCAGGCCUAGAAGUGGCUAACGUCACCUCCAUUUGCACUGAGUUGGCCAGGAUUCAAUCAUAUUGCCCCUGUCUGAUUGCAGGGCACAUGAGAGAGAGAGCCUUCCUGCCAUGUGCAAACAGCAUGGUCUCUGAAGAGUCAUCUUGACCAAAGUUGGUGGGCUCAGAACGAAUUGUUCCAAUGCCUUUCAGUUCUGUCCUGGUGAAAUGGAACUGUCGAAGUGCUUUUGUUUGAAAACAAAAUAUUGAUUAUUUUGAAUAGUGGUUGAGUUCAAAGACGAAGAAGAGAGAGGGUGAUCUCCUAGUAAUGGAAAGAGAGAAGACCGAUUGCUUCUGUAGUCAAUUAUUUGAAGAAGGGCUCCAAUAUUUUAAUGAUGAUAAAGAAAAUCAUCUCAUUUGCUCCAGCCAUUCCCAAUAGAGAGCGUUGUUCUCUCAAACUAUGGAUAAAAAUGUCAAAAAUGAAAUCCAUUUGCAUUUGCAAAUUAAAAGGAGAGAAUGCUGCAGUUUUGUCCAGGAACUAAGGGCCGACGUCCCUCUCCAGUGUGGCACCAUAAAACACUUCUCUGGUCUACAUGCUUGCACACCACGUUAUAUGCGUUGAUUCACUUCGUUCCUGGGGAGAAUUUCCAUCCAACAACAGGACUGACAUAUGACUGGAUCACUUUUUGUCUCUAGCCCACGUGGUCCAAAGCAAAUAAACAAAUUGACAAGGCACCA
rnacentral:lncRNA from 1 species